rnacentral:rRNA from 1 species
GACGAACGCUGGCGGCGUGCCUAAUACAUGCAAGUCGAGCGCAGGAAACUGACGGAACUCUUCGGAGGGAAGGCAGUGGAAUGAGCGGCGGACGGGUGAGUAACACGUAAGGAACCUGCCUCAAGGAUUGGGAUAACUCCGAGAAAUCGGAGCUAAUACCGGAUAGUUCAUCGGACCGCAUGGUCCGUUGAUGAAAGGCGCUGCGGCGUCCCCUUGAGAUGGCCUUGCGGUGCAUUAGCUAGUUGGUGGGGUAACGGCCAACCAAGGCGACGAUGCAUAGCCGACCUGAGAGGGUGAUCGGCCACACUGGGACUGAGACACGGCCCAGACUCCUACGGGAGUCAGCAGUAGGGAAUCUUCCACAAUGGACGAAAGUCUGAUGGAGCAACGCCGCGUGUGUGAUGAAGGUUUUCGGAUCGUAAAACUCUGUUGUAAGGGAAGAACACGUACGAGAGGGAAUGCUCGUACCUUGACGGUACCUUACGAGAAAGCCACGGCUAACUACGUGCCAGCCGCCGCUGUAA